ensembl:lncRNA
CUGGCUCUCACCUCAUGCCCUGUGUUCAUCUCUGACAAGAGGAUGCUCCUUGGCUGCAAAAGGGAAAAGCAACUCGGGGGUAAUUUCCGAUUGUUGGAAUAAGAGUAUUGUCAGCUGCUCUCGCAUAAAAACAGAGUCUAAAUGUGAAGAGGAAUCCAUUUCAAUGCUGGAAAUUGAAAGGCCAAGGUAAAUAAUUUUGUGUCAACACUUGUCAAAUCAUAAUAAGUGCCAUGCUUUAAGUGCUUCCUAAGUGCUAAGCACAACUCAUUGGAAAAGACCCUGAUGCUGGGAAAGAUUGAAGGCAGGAGAAGGGGACGACAGAGGAUGAGAUGAUUGGAUGGCAUCACUGACGCGAUGGACAUGAGUUUGAGUAAGCUCUGGGAGUUGGUGAUGGACAGGGAAGCCUGGCGUGCUGUAGUCCAUGGGGUCACCAAGAUUCAGACACGACUGAGCGACUGAGCACCAUUCUGCAUGCUUACCUACUUAUCACACAGUCUUAUGAGAUGGGUAAUAUUAUCAUCAUCUCAUAUUAUAUAAGUGGGGAGAUAGGCUGAGAGGCUUAGCAGCUGGUCUGAGGUCACACAGCUGGAAUCUGAACCCAGGCAGUCUGACUUCAGAGCCUGUGCUCUUUAACCGCCCCCCACACAGACCUGGCCUGUCUCCAGUAUGUGACUAGUGGCAAGUAACCUAGACAACACUCCCCCCUGUCCCCCACCACACACACACACACCCACUUAUUUCCAUGGAUAAAGGACAGCAAAGCAGGGUUGUCCAGAAGGACAAAGAUAAUCACAGUAGGAGAGGGUAGCAGCCGCACUGAUUCCCUGAACCGGCUGAGAUUACAGGUCUCACUGUGCUGGGCCAGGUGCAUGCCCCUCCAUGCCAGGAUGCCAGCCAAGCACUCAGAGAGGGCUGAGCAGGGCCUCACCACUGUGUUGCUAGUGAUGGGUGCUUAUCCUGGUGGGAGGGAAGGCAAAGCUAGUAAACUGCCCUCCACUGUGAAGGAGACUGAUGUGCUAAUACUGGCAUUUAUAUAUAUAUGAAGUAGACAUGUUGCAUGUCAUCCAGUGACCCACCAAAGAUAUGUAGCUUGGAUUCAGUCUGUGGACUAGAAAAUAAACAUCAUGAUGGGCAUAACACAGCCAAAGGUCUCCGGGUUGGUGUCUUCGUCAGUUCGGGCUGCUCUGUACAGACAGAGAGGCCUAGGCAACAAGCAUUUAGCUCUCACAGACAGGAUGUCCAAGAUCAAGGUACCAGCAGGACAACGUCUGGUGAGAAAUCGCUUCCUGGUUUGUAGACAGCUGUUUUCUCAUAUCCUCACAUGGCAGAGAGCCAAAAAAAGAGGAAGCGCUCUUGUAUGUUUUCUAUAAAGGCACUGAUUGCAUCUUGGUGGUUCCACCCUCAUGACCUAAUUACCUUCCAAAGGCUCCAUCCAAAUACCAUCACAUUGCGGAUUGGUGUUUCAACAUAUGGAUUUGGGGGGAGGGGGGACACGAACAUAUGGUCUCUAACAGAUGCCAUUCUAUAAGUCUGCAUCAGCAUCGUUAAAAAUUACGCACACGCACACAAGGCACAGUCCUGAAUUGAUUCAGAGAGAGCUCUGGCUCACUGAUGAGCACCUCUACCCAGGCCUCAUGCAGCCGGAAACUGUCUCGUUGUGUUCAGCGUGUCACCCUUGUCUCCCCACUAUUCCUCUGCCUGGAAUAUAGAAGUGCUCAA